rnacentral:rRNA from 1 species
GAGACAGCAGCCGCCGCGGUAAUACCGGCAGCACGAGUGAUGACCGCUAUUAUUGGGCCUAAAGCGUCCGUAGCUGGCCACGCAAGUCCGUCGGGAAAUCCGCGCGCUUAACGCGCGGGCGUCCGGUGGAAACUGUGUGGCUUGGGACCGGAAGAUCCAGAGGGUACGUCCGGGGUAGGAGUGAAAUCCCGUAAUCCUGGACGGACCACCGGUGGCGAAAGCGCUCUGGAAAGACGGAUCCGACGGUGAGGGACGAAAGCUCGGGUCACGAACCGGAUUAGAUACCCCCGUAGUCCCUGUCUCUUAUA